UACGGAGGGGGCGAGCGUUAUUCGGAAUUAUUGGGCGUAAAGGGCGCGUAGGCGGCUGAACAAGUCAAAGGUGAAAUCCCUCGGCUCAACUGAGGAACUGCCUUUGAAACUGUUCGGCUUGAGGCCGGGAGGGGGUAGCGGAAUUCCCAGUGUAGCGGUGAAAUGCGUAGAUAUUGGGAGGAACACCAGUGGCGAAGGCGGCUACCUGGACCGGUUCUGACGCUGAGGCGCGAAAGCGCGGGUAGCAAACAGG
rnacentral:rRNA from 1 species